UGUAGGAGUAAGCGACACCAUCUCCUCCAGGUUGCGGAUACAUUUCCUGUUGGAUAAUCACAAACCAGUGCUGAUUUGGCUGUGGAAUGAGUCAAUGAAACCAGAAAACACAGGAGCAAAGAGAGUAAACUGUGUAAAAACCAAAUGCUGUGGAAGACAAUAUUUUAUGGCAUAGCUGUGCGGUUCUGGAUAACUGCCCACAAUUUUGUUACCCUCCAAGACAUGGACACCCCGACUAGGCCAGCAUUUAUUGCCCAUCCUUAAUCUCCUAGAGGGCAUUGCUGUGGGUCUGGAGUUACAUGUAGGCCAGAACAGCCAUCCCAGACAGAAAACCAAUGGAACUCUCAGAAACUGGUGUUGAUGUGCUUUACGAGGAGCAAUUUAGCAAGUUAUCAAAAGGCACCUGAAGUGAAAGGAG